rnacentral:lncRNA from 1 species
CAAUGAGACGGGACGUCUGACGCCGAUGGGAUGGGGCAUCUGACACCGACGGAACACCGACGGGAUGUCUGACACCGGCGAAUCGCCUGGCAUUCAUGGGGCGCCUGACACCAGAUCAGCCCACGGUACGACCGUCAGAAUCGAAACUUAAUGAGAUGGGAAUCUACUCCUUUCGCCCGACGCUGCCGCCCACGCAAAAACAGUGGCCGACGCACCAUCCGGCUCAGGAGUGGAGG